CCUACGGGAGGCAGCAGUGGGGAAUCUUGCACAAUGGAGGAAACCCUGAUGCAGCGACGCCGCGUGAGUGAAGAAGUAUUUCGGUAUGUAAAGCUCUAUCAGCAGGAACGAGACAAGACGGUACCUGACUAAGAAGCCCCGGCUAACUACGUUCCAGCAGCCGCGGUAAUACGUAGGGGGCAAGCGUUAUCCGGAAUCACUGGGUGUAAAGGGAGUGUAGGCGGGAAAGCAAGUCCGAAGUGAAAACUAUGGGCUUAACCCAUAGACUGCAUUUGAAACUGUUUUUCUUGAGUGAAGUAGAGGCAAGCGGAAUUCCUAGUGUAGCGGUGAAAUGCGUAGAUAUUAGGAGGAACACCAGUGGCGAAGGCGGCUUGCUGGGCUUUUACUGACGCUGAGGCUCGAAAGCGUGGGGAGCAAACAGGAUUAGAUACCCGGGUAGUC
rnacentral:rRNA from 1 species